GGCACAAACUUGAAUUAGAAUAGUUGGGUAUGGUCAGAUGAACCUAUUGACCUACCCUACUUCAAGUUUGUGCUC
rnacentral:pre_miRNA from 1 species